rnacentral:rRNA from 1 species
UACGGAGGAUGCGAGCGUUAUCCGGAUUUAUUGGGUUUAAAGGGUGCGUAGGCGGUCUUUCAAGCCAGAAGUGAAAGGCUACGGCUCAACCGUAGUAAGCUUUUGGAACUGUAAGACUUGAGUGCAGGAGAGGAGAGUGGAAUUCCUAGUGUAGCGGUGAAAUGCGUAGAUAUUAGGAGGAACACCAGUAGCGAAGGCGGCUCUCUGGACUGUAACUGACGCUGAGGCACGAAAGCGUGGGGAGCAAACAGGAUUAGAUACCCCCGUAGUCCCUGA